CUUGCUUCUCUUGAGAGCGGCGGACGGGUGAGUAAUGCCUAGGAAUCUGCCUGGUAGUGGGGGAUAACGUCCGGAAACGGACGCUAAUACCGCAUACGUCCUACGGGAGAAAGCAGGGGACCUUCGGGCCUUGCGCUAUCAGAUGAGCCUAGGUCGGAUUAGCUAGUUGGUGGGGUAAUGGCUCACCAAGGCGACGAUCCGUAACUGGUCUGAGAGGAUGAUCAGUCACACUGGAACUGAGACACGGUCCAGACUCCUACGGGAGGCAGCAGUGGGGAAUAUUGGACAAUGGGCGAAAGCCUGAUCCAGCCAUGCCGCGUGUGUGAAGAAGGUCUUCGGAUUGUAAAGCACUUUAAGUUGGGAGGAAGGGCAGUAAAUUAAUACUUUGCUGUUUUGACGUUACCGACAGAAUAAGCACCGGCUAACUCUGUGCCAGCAGCCGCGGUAAUACAGAGGGUGCAAGCGUUAAUCGGAAUUACUGGGCGUAAAGCGCGCGUAGGUGGUUCGUUAAGUUGGAUGUGAAAUCCCCGGGCUCAACCUGGGAACUGCAUUCAAAACUGACGAGCUA
rnacentral:rRNA from 1 species